rnacentral:rRNA from 1 species
CGCGCAGGUGGCAUGGUAAGUGGCAGGUGAAAUCCCCCGGCUCAACCGGGAACCGGCCUGCCAAACUAGCCGUGCUUGAGGCUGGGAGGGGAGGAGCGGAAUUCCUGGUGUAGCGGUGAAAUGCGUAGAUACCAGGAGGAACACCGGUGGCGAAGGCGGCUCUCUGGACCAGAUCUGACGCUCAUGCGCGAAAGCGUGGGGAGCAAACAGGAUUAGAUACCCUGGUAGUCCACGCCCUAAACGAUGGGCACUAGGCGUCGCGGGUGUCGACCCCUGCGGUGCCGUAGCUAACGCGUUAAGUGCCCCGCCUGGGGAGUACGGUCGCAAGGCUGAA